UUUUAAUAGUGGUAAAAUACACAUAACAUAAAAUUUGCCGUGCUAAUGGGAGUUGUUUUAAAGUCUGUGCCUGAUCAGCCCAAUAUCUGAAUCGUCUGUGGGUCUGUUUCCAUUAUCUUCUUUUUUCUGUCUUUUCUUAUUUCAUCUUGUCUUUUUGUGUACCUGGUCCAUUUUUAUCUGACUUUAUAUGCCUCCAGGGAGUACUGACUUUGGCUUAUUGGCAGGCAGUUACAGGAGGAGUAGAUCAUCUUAAUCUAGUUUGUGACUGAGCUGGUUCAAAGCAGGGUCAGUUUUUGCGAGGUCUGGUCUAUUUUUGAUUCAUUUGUACUCUUAUGGGUGGUCUUUGCAGGGUCUCCACCAAGGCCCCAUCUCCCCAUCUCAUGGGGCUCAAACUCUGGCAUGUGUCCCCCAGCCCUGUGAGAGCACCAGACAUUCAGCUUGGCUUCCAACCUCUUAGCCCCUCAGCCCUGGGCUGUUUACCGCUCUUCGUAUGUGGGAAAAGUACCAGAGACCGAAGGGUCACCUCCCAGAACCUGGUUCCUCAAGUCCUGGCUGAGCUCUCAAGAACUUCAGACGGUUUUUUGCAGGGGGAGGCAUUUUUGUACAGCUUUUCUAGUUGUUCUCAUGGACAAGGUGUCUUUUAAAACAUUUUUGUUUGAAGUUGAGGCAUAAUUUACACACCGUGAAACACACAGGUCUUAAGUGUACAGUGUGAUGACUUUUAAAAAACAUAUUACCCACACAGCCCGUCUCCUUUCAAGGCGUAUCACUCAGAAAGUUGUCGUGGACCUCUUCCUGUCCCUCACUCCCGUUCACUCCCCAGUGGCUGCUGAACACACCUGAGGAUACCAGCCCAAGACCCCGGCCACCCCAGGGAGCUGCUUCUGAGGACCUGCCCGCCUCACCCAACACAUACUCCUUGCUUUCCCUCUAGAAACUGCCGUCUUUAAACUGGUCGUGCCCAUAAUCCUCCCUCCUCGAAAGCCAGACCCUGGAAUACAGAAGGGCUGCACAGCUGCCCUCCUCUGUCCGGACUCUCGCCCACUUGGCUGGGCCCAUACAGCAGCUGGUCCUGUCCCACCUGGGCCUCUGCAGGCAGUUCCCACAGCCCAGCUCCCACCUCCCCCAACAAGUGGGGGGAAUGUGAGGUCAUCUAUUGAACAGGCCAAGGGAGGCGAUAAUAGGGUAGAGCUUCGAGGACGAGGAGGAGGUUCUGGCCAUGCUGGAGGCCCAUCUGCUAAUGGCAAGCCCGUUGGCUGUCUACCCAACGGUCGUUCCCCCUCCACAUCUCCUUUGUUAACAAAACCAUGACUUUGUUAGAUGUUGGACACUCAUGAGCUUCAUGGACCCUUCUCCAGCCUCCUUGCCAUGUAUCCACAAGUCUUAGCCAACUCUGGGUAAGGCCCAGGCAUGAGCUGUAGCCCCGGGUGCCUACAGGGCAGGUCUCUGGGACUGUUUUCCUCAGACUGAAAACGACUAACCCAAGAAAGGAUCCGCCACAGAUGUUAUCAUGUGAGGAUCUUCUGUUUGGAGCGGUGGCCACAAUCUUACGAUCAUGGGGGAGAAAUGGAAUCACAGAAUCCUGCCAUCACGGACAGCAGCCUCGGGUUCUGACACUGACAUUGACACCAUUGGCCUGCUCUUUUCUUGGGUUGUCCUUACUGUUUUAGCCACUUGUACUCGGAUGUCCUGUGACUGGGGAGUUAAGGCACUGUCAUCAAUAUAGAGAUCAUGGGCUAG